rnacentral:rRNA from 1 species
CUCGAACUCUGUCUGAAGAUUGUAGUCUGAGUGAAAAUAUAAAUUAUUUAAAACUUUCAACAACGGAUCUCUUGGUUCCGGCAUCUAUGAAGAACGCAGCGAAAUGCGAUACGUAAUGUGAAUUGCAAAUUCAGUGAAUCAUCGAGUCUUUGAACGCACAUUGCGCCCCCUGGUAUUCCGGGGGGCAUGCCUGUCCGAGACGUCAUUGCUGCCCUCAAGCACGGCUUGUGUGUUGGGCCCCGUCCUCCGAUUCCGGGGGACGGGCCCGAAAGGCAGCGGCGGCACCGCGUCCGGUCCUCGAGCGUAUGGGGCUUUGUCACCCGCUCUGUAGGCCCGGCCGGCGCUUGCCGAUCAACCCAAAUUUUUAUCCAGGUUGACCUCGGAUCAGGUAGGGAUACCCGCUGAACUUAAGCAUAUCAA